GCUUGCUCCUCAAGGUUAGUGGCGAACGGGUGAGUAACGCGUGAGCAACCUGCCUUUCAGAGGGGGACAACGGUUGGAAACGACCGCUAAUACCGCAUGAUGCAUUUUGGUCGCAUGAUCGGGAUGCCAAAGAUUUAUCGCUGAAAGAUGGGCUCGCGUCUGAUUAGAUAGUUGUGGGGUAACGGCCUACCCAAGUCGACGAUCAGUAGCCGGACUGAGAGGUUGAACGGCCACAUUGGGACUGAGAUACGGCCCAGACUCCUACGGGAGGCAGCAGUGGGGAAUUAAUUGGGCAAUGGGGGAAACCCUGACCCAGCAACGCCGCGUGAAGGAAGAAGGCUUUCGGGUUGUAAACUUCUUUUACCAGGGACGAAGGACGUGACGGUACCUGGAGAAAAAGCCACGGCUAACUACGUGCCAGCCGCGGC
rnacentral:rRNA from 1 species